UUUCUAAAGGAAAAUGCUAACCAAACACAUAGUUUGUUCAGAUGUCAUUCUCCUCCACCAUCCAAUCAGAAGUUGGGGGGGAACUGUAUACUAAAAUAAUAGUAAUAUUAUAUUUGCAUGUAUAUGUAUGAAAGGAUCUGAUUUUAAUAGAUACAUUCUGGUGAACAUUGAUUUCUCAGGCUCCUCAAAACCAGGUGAAUUCCUCCCUUCUCUGUCAGUGGAUGAAAGAGUUUGGUGCAGUGACAGUUGUAAGAGCCCACAGGAACAAACCAACACCAUAAAAGGUUCUUAAUGGAGCAGUUUCUGAGACCUGUUGUGUAUGAAGAGAAUCCAGAGUAUCUAGAAGAGGCUCUGAAGAACAGCGCCCAUGAUGCAAACAUCUCACUCUACGUCCUCUGUUCCAGUGCAACCUGUGCUGAUGAUGCAUCAGUCACUGUAGAUAAGCAUGAGUUAGCACAUGGAAUGCUAACAGAGUACGGCUAGCAUCUGAGAAUGUGGUAAAAUUUUUGUUUUCUCAAACAAAAGUGGAUGUUUUCAAUAUCUUACUUUUAUAUGGAUUGAGCUUGUAACAUUUAUUCAUGUGUCAAAUGCCAUUGAAGUCAAUGGGACUACUUACAUGAGCAAGGAUAGCAGGAUUGGGCUCAGGUCUUUUAGUGUAUUAAGCAAGAAUGUUUAUGGAGAAAACUAUAAAUAAUUUUCAUCAUAGUUUUAAAGUGAUUAUUUUUAUCCUGUUUACAUGCCAAUUCUACUGCUGAGAGGAGCAAUAUGAUCUGAAAACUGAGUACAGUGGGGCUAGUCAUAUGCAUAAGCUUUUGCAGGAUGAGAAUCCUGGCACUUUAAAAUUGCUUCUGUUAAGAGUUUUCCUGCCUGUAGGAAUGGAUGAUUUCCAUUGAAUAUCCCCAAGUUCCUCUAGCUAUGACUCUUACUUCCUGCAGGGCAGGAGGAAUCCUGUCUACCUUAGGGUUUUUUACUGCCGCCCAUCAUUGUAGUAUCAGAGUGCUUUCCAC
rnacentral:lncRNA from 1 species